rnacentral:rRNA from 1 species
AGUGAACGCUGGCGGUAGGCCUAACACAUGCAAGUCGAACGGCAGCACAGUAAGAGCUUGCUCUUACGGGUGGCGAGUGGCGGACGGGUGAGGAAUACAUCGGAAUCUACUUUUUCGUGGGGGAUAACGUAGGGAAACUUACGCUAAUACCGCAUACGACCUACGGGUGAAAGCAGGGGAUCUUCGGACCUUGCGCGAUUGAAUGAGCCGAUGUCGGAUUAGCUAGUUGGCGGGGUAAAGGCCCACCAAGGCGACGAUCCGUAGCUGGUCUGAGAGGAUGAUCAGCCACACUGGAAGUGAGACACGGUCCAGACUCCUACGGGAGGCAGCAGUGGGGAAUAUUGGACAAUGGGCGCAAGCCUGAUCCAGCCAUACCGCGUGGGUGAAGAAGGCCUUCGGGUUGUAAAGCCCUUUUGUGGGAAAAGAAAAGCAGCAGGUUAAUACCCCGCUGUUCUGACGGUACCCAAAGAAUAAGCACCGGCUAACUUCG